rnacentral:rRNA from 1 species
UACGGGAGGCAGCAGUGGGGAAUAUUGCACAAUGGGCGCAAGCCUGAUGCAGCCAUGCCGCGUGUAUGAAGAAGGCCUUCGGGUUGUAAAGCACUUUCAGCGAGGAGGAAAGGUUGUUGGCUAAUACCCAACAGCUGUGACGUUACUCGCAGAAGAAGCACCGGCUAACUCCGUGCCAGCAGCCGCGGUAAU